CAUUCAUGGGCAAUGAGUCAGCAGCUCUGACAGCACUAAAUACGGUCACCAGUUAAUAUGCAAGAUAACAGGCUCACAUGUUACUUCAGAAAAUGCUGAUUUCUAGAAAAGACAUUGCAGGAAAUUGAAGAGACUCCCUAUUUACUUCAAUAAUAUUCAUUGGGUAUGCUUGUUCAAAGUCCUGAUCAAGGAACCCCUCUCCAUUUCUGGUGUUGAUACAACUCUUCCAACCACCUGUUCUUCUAGCUACAAAAACAUGCAUUGUGAAUCAACGGGAAGGAGUGAGCCCAGCUGGUAACCUGACACCAGGAGCAUAGGUGGGCAGAACUUUUCAUGGACUUGGACAGCCAUGGGAAAUCAUUUCGCCAGGACUUUGGGUAAAGCCUGAAUUUUUUGGACUUCGAGGCUACACUGGCAGGGUUAUCAAGUUAUACAGCUCCAAUGUAUUCCAUGUGAAUGGUGCCCUGGGAGAUCUGCCCCAUGGUGGUGUCAUAUGCCUGAACACAUAGCUGUGUUCAUUAUCCCAAGGUAUUUCUUUGAAAAAAAACUUUUCUAUCUUUAAAAGUCUGAUGUUACCCAUCUAUAUUAGUCAAGUUUCUUCAGAGAGACAGAACCAAUAGGGUAAAGAUAUAAACAGGCAUAGAUAUAUGGGAGAGGAUUUAUUAAACAAAUUGGCACACAUGAUUAUAGAGGCUGAGAAGUUCUAUGACAUGUCAUCUGCAAGCUGCAGACCUUGGGAUGCUGGUAACAUGGCUCAGCCCAAUCUGAAGGCUUCAGAACCGUGGGAGCCGAUGGUGUAACUCUACUCUGUGGCCAAAAGCCUGAGAAGAGGAGUGGAGAGGGGGAUGAGGAAUAGUGUAAGUCCAAAAGCUAGGGAGCCUGGAGUUGUUGUCCAAUGACAAGAGAGGAAGAGUGCACCCCAGCUCCAGCACAUACAUCAACAUAUUCACCUUGUCUCUGUUCUCUCUUGGCUGCUAGCAGAUUACAAGGUGCCUGCCUGCAUUGAGGGCAGAUCUUCCGCACCCAGUCCACUAAUGCUAAUCUUCUCUGGAAACACUCUCACAGACACGUCCCAAAAUAAUGCUUUAUCAGGUUUCUACAUAUUCCUUAAUCCAGUCAAGUUGACACUUCAAAUUAACUAUCUCACCGUCAUGUAAACCAAACCGUAGCACUUUUUACUAAACCAGUGUGGUCUAUGGAUAACAAUUCAAGUCAUUCUUUUGAUGGUAAAUCACACUAGUUUAAAUCAUGAGUUAGAUGUGUAGGGGGCUUCCAAUCUCUCCAUUUCCCUACUUUACUAGGGUUUA